rfam:Triticum aestivum genome assembly, contig: Triticum_aestivum_CS42_TGACv1_scaffold_129331_2BL
CUGGUACUCCCUCCGUCCGAAAAUACUUAUGCUCGAAAUGGUUGUAUUUAGACUUAUUUUAGUUAUAGAUACAUUCAUUUUAUCCAUUUUGAGGACAAGUAUUUCCGGACGAAGAGAGUACUUG